rnacentral:misc_RNA from 1 species
GAUGAAGAACGUAGCGAAAUGCGAUAAGUAAUGUGAAUUGCAGAAUUCAGUGAAUCAUCGAGUCUUUGAACGCAUAUUGCGCCCCCUGGUAUUCCGGGGGGCAUGCCUGUCCGAGCGUCAUUGCCGCCCUCAAGCACGGCUUGUGUGUUGGGCCCCCGCCCCCCGGCUUCGGGGGGCGGGCCCGAAAGGCAGCGGCGGCACCGCGUCCGGUCCUCGAGCGUAUGGGGCUUCGUCACCCGCUCUGUAGGCCCGGCCGGCGCCCGCCGGCGACCCCAAUCAAUCUUUCCAGGUUGACCUCGGAUCAGGUAGGGAUACCCGCUGAACUUAAGCAUAUCAAUAAGCGGAGGA